GAGAGAAGCCAGAAGAUUAAGAUGAAUCAUCACGCAUGAUCACUACAUCCGUUAUUUACAAUUAUCCAUUGACAUCUCAGCUGAUCAUGUUCCUGAAUCUUUAAUAAAAAUGAUUUAGG